AUUGAACGCUGGCGGCAGGCCUAACACAUGCAAGUCGAGCGGAUGAAGGGAGCUUGCUCCUGGAUUCAGCGGCGGACGGGUGAGUAAUGCCUAGGAAUCUGCCUGGUAGUGGGGGAUAACGUCCGGAAACGGGCGCUAAUACCGCAUACGUCCUGAGGGAGAAAGUGGGGGAUCUUCGGACCUCACGCUAUCAGAUGAGCCUAGGUCGGAUUAGCUAGUUGGUGGGGUAAAGGCCUACCAAGGCGACGAUCCGUAACUGGUCUGAGAGGAUGAUCAGUCACACUGGAACUGAGACACGGGCCAGACUCCUACGGGAGGCAGCAGUGGGGAAUAUUAGACAAAGGGCGAAAGCCUGAUCCAGCCAUGCCGCGUGUGUGAAGAAGGUCUUCGGAUUGUAAAGCACUUUAAGUUGGGAGGAAGGGCAGUAAGUUAAUACCUUGCUGUUUUGACGUUACCAACAGAAUAAGCACCGGCUAACUUCGUG
rnacentral:rRNA from 1 species